CCUACGGGGGGCAGCAGUAGGGAAUCUUCCACAAUGGGCGAAAGCCUGAUGGAGCAACGCCGCGUGGGUGAAGAAGGUCUUCGGAUCGUAAAACUCUGUUGUUAGAGAAGAAAGUGCGUGAGAGUAACUGUUCACGUUUCGACGGUAUCUAACCAGAAAGCCACGGCUAACUACGUGCCAGCAGCCGCGGUAAUACGUAGGUGGCAAGCGUUAUCCGGAUUUAUUGGGCGUAAAGGGAGCGCAGGCGGUCUUUUAAGUCUGAUGUGAAAGCCUUCGGCUUAACCGGAGUAGUGCAUUGGAAACUGGGAGACUUGAGUGCAGAAGAGGAGAGUGGAACUCCAGGUGUAGCGGUGAAAUGCGUAGAUAUAUGGAAGAACACCAGUGGCGAAGGCGGCUCUCUGGUCUGUAACUGACGCUGAGGUUCGAAAGCGUGGGUAGCAAACAGGAUUAGAUACCCCUGUAGUC
rnacentral:rRNA from 1 species